CAUCAGGAAAAUAAUAGAAGUUAACGCAGAUAUGGGGCUGCCACUGAGGAGAGAGAAGACUGAAAGAAGCAUAUAGAUAAAAGAUUAUCUGAGUAGGCUGAACCAUCGGUGAAAAGGAGGCCAAGCAUCUCAAAAAUAGGACACGUGAGAGUAUGGAGCCAAUGUGACACUCAGAUUUGACACAUACAGAAGCGUGAAAAACUCUUGUGUGACUGGGAUAGCUCCUCUGCAAUGAGAACAUGCCUGGGAUAAUGUACUGAAAAGAUGUGAGAAAUACAUGAAGCAGAGUCCAGUCAUCCCAGCCAAGAACCAGCUGUGAAUGUAACCGCAUGACUUUGAGGCAAGUCCAGACCAAGAACAAAGAACCACUGGUCUUAAAGACAGACCUGCAGAUUCCUGAGCUAAAUAAAAGUUUAUUGUUGAAA
rnacentral:lncRNA from 1 species